rnacentral:rRNA from 1 species
AUUGAACGCUGGCGGCAGGCCUAACACAUGCAAGUCGAGCGAGCGGCGGACGGGUGAGUAAUGUAUGGGGACUGCCCGAUAGAGGGGGAUAACUACUGGAAACGGUAGCUAAUACCGCAUACUAUCGGAUAACCCAUAUGGGAUUAGCUAGUAGGUGAGGUAAUGGCUCACCUAGGCGACGAUCCCUAGCUGGUCUGAGAGGAUGAUCAGCAAAACUGGGACUGAGACAGGGCCCAAACCCCUAGGGAGGCAGAGGGGGGGAAUAUGGCACAAGGGGCGCAAGCCGGAUGCAGCCAUGCGGGGUGUAUGAAGAAGGCCCUAGGGUUGUAAAGUACUUUCGGUCGGGAGGGGUUACCGACAGAAGAAGCACCGGCUAACUCCGUGCCAGCAGCCGCGUAAUAC